CGGUAAUACGUAGGUGGCAAGCGUUGUCCGGGAUUAUUGGGCGUAAAGCGAGCGCAGGCGGUUUUUUAAGUCUGAUGUGAAAGCCUUUCGGCUUAACCGGAGAAGUGCAUCGGAAACUGGGAGACUUGAGUGCAGAAGAGGACAGUGGAACUCCAUGUGUAGCGGUGGAAUGCGUAGAUAUAUGGAAGAACACCAGUGGCGAAGGCGGCUGUCUAGUCUGUAACUGACGCUGAGGCUCGAAAGCAUGGGUAGCGAACAGGAUUAGAUACCCUGGUAGUCCAUGCCGUAAACGAUGAGUGCUAAGUGUUGGAGGGUUUCCGCCCUUCAGUGCUGCAGCUAACGCAUUAAGCACUCCGCCUGGGGAGUACGACCGCAAGGUUGAAACUCAAAGGAAUUGACGGGGGCCCGCACAAGCGGUGGAGCAUGUGGUUUAAUUCGAAGCUACGCGAAGAACCUUACCAGGUCUUGACAUCUUCUGCCAAUCUUAGAGAUAAGACGUUCCCUUCGGGGACAGAAUGACAGGUGGUGCAUGGUUGUCGUCAGCUCGUGUCGUGAGAUGUUGGGUUAAGUCCCGCAACGAGCGCAACCCUUAUUAUCAGUUGCCAGCAUUCAGUUGGGCACUCUGGUGAGACUGCCGGUGACAAACCGGAGGAAGGUGGGGAUGACGUCAAAUCAUCAUGCCCCUUAUGACCUGGGCUACACACGUGCUACAAUGGACGGUACAACGAGUCGCGAAGUCGUGAGGCUAAGCUAAUCUCUUAAAGCCGUUCUCAGUUCGGAUUGUAGGCUGCAACUCGCCUACAUGAAGUUGGAAUCGCUAGUAAUCGCGGAUCAGCAUGCCGCGGUGAAUACGUUCCCGGGCCUUGUACACACCGCCCGUCACACCAUGAGAGUUUGUAACACCCAAAGCCGGUGAGAUAACC
rnacentral:rRNA from 2 species